GUCCCCAUAGCUUAACUGGAUAAAGCGGCUCCCUUCUAAGGAGUAGACUGCAGGUUCAAAUCCUACUGGGGACA
rnacentral:tRNA from 1 species